AAUUUUGGACAAUGGGCGAAAGCCUGAUCCAGCAAUGCCGCGUGCAGGAUGAAGGCCUUCGGGUUGUAAACUGCUUUUGUACGGAACGAAAAGCUUUAGGUUAAUACCCUGGAGUCAUGACGGUACCGUAAGAAUAAGCAACGGCUAACUACGUGCCAGCAGCCGCGGUAAUACGUAGGGUGCAAGCGUUAAGCGGAAUUACUGGGCGUAACGCGUGCGCAGGCGUUUUUGUAAGACAUGGGUGACACCCCCGGGCUCCACCUGGGAACUGCCUUUGUGACUGCAAGGAUAGAGUACGGCAGAGGGGGGUGGAAUUCCGCGUGUAGCAGUGAAAUGCGUAGAUAUGCGGAGGAACACCGAUGGCGAAGGCAAUCCCCUGGGCCUGUACUGACGCUCAUGCACGAAAGAGUGGGGAGCAAACA
rnacentral:rRNA from 1 species